rnacentral:tRNA from 2 species
GCUCCCGUGGCGCAAUUGGAAGACGCGACAGACUUAAAAUCUGUUUUGCUGUGAGUUCGAGUCUCACCGGGAGUA